rnacentral:ncRNA from 1 species
UGACCUCGGAUCAGGUAGGGAUACCCGCUGAACUUAAGCAUAUCAAUAAGCGGAGGAAAAAGAAACCAACAGGGAUUGCCUCAGUAACGGCGAGUGAAGCGGCAAGAGCUCAAAUUUGAAAGCUGGCCCCUCGGGGUCCGCGUUGUAAUUUGCAGAGGAUGCUUCGGGUGCAGCCCCCGUCUAAGUGCCCUGGAACGGGCCGUCAUAGAGGGUGAGAAUCCCGUCUGGGACGGGGUGUCUGCGUCCGUGUGAAGCUCCUUCGACGAGUCGAGUUGUUUGGGAAUGCAGCUCUAAAUGGGUGGUAAAUUUCAUCUAAAGCUAAAUACUGGCCGGAGACCGAUAGCGCACAAGUAGAGUGAUCGAAAGAUGAAAAGCACUUUGAAAAGAGAGUUAAACAGCACGUGAAAUUGUUGAAAGGGAAGCGUUUGCGACCAGACUCGCCCGCGGGGUUCAGCCGCAUUCGUGCCGGUGUACUUCCCCGUGGG